rnacentral:lncRNA from 1 species
CUUAAGUUCGAGGUCCCCACAAAGCCAGCGAAACCAAUGAUCAACAGAAACAAGCUCGAACAAGAGGAUUGGUGCGUUUCAAUGCGUGAUCGGCUGGGGGGCAGAGUAUACGAGCAUAAUCGGUUGGGGGGUAGGACUAGCACAUAUGAUUGGUUGGGAGAAGUAGCCGACGCAAGAGUCUCCGAUGAAAAUCCAUUGGGCCGAGAGCCGGAUUGGGAACGUGCAAAGCCACCGGGUAAACUAGUGAACCCUAGAUGGUGCCUGGAUGGUUUGACCAAAUCCUAGAAGAGAAGGGUCCAGCGUUUGCGCCAAUGGGAACAACAAGAAUAAGAAUAGAGGCAAGCAUUGGAUAAGAAAGGAGUCGAGCCUCAAGUUUGGC